ensembl:lncRNA
GCACAAAGGAAGGCUAUUGUUAUUGCUUCUUGGGAGAGAUAACAAGUCAAAAUCACUCUUGAAGAUAUAUACCCAUGAUGAUAUGCAGAAUUUAAUGAAACUGUGUUUUCCUCUUUUAAGGAUGUACCUACUCCACCUGCUCUUAUGUCUGGUCUCUGUUCUCCAACACUCCAUACAACAGGCACAAACAUUUGUGUUCAAAUGAACCCACAAUGCUUAAGCCAUACCUCUUCAGCUCUACCUACCAAGAAUUUCCCACCUUCUGUUCUGGAAGUGGCAGCCAUGUGUCUAGGACUCUGCAGAUCAGCACACAUCCAGC